rnacentral:ncRNA from 1 species
CCUUGCAGCACGGGGUCCUGGCGCUCCGGCCGUUUGGAACGGCGGCGCCGGGUGAGAGACACCCAUUGAACCUGAUGCGGGUAAUGCCGCCGAAGGGAACCGAAAUGAACGCGA